rnacentral:rRNA from 1 species
GUCGAACGAGGAAAGUAGCAAUAUGAGUACUAGUGGCGCACGGGUGAGGAAUACAUGGGUAAUCUGCCCUCAAGUUUGGGAUAACCAGUCGAAAGAUUGGCUAAUACCGGAUAUGACCACAGGAUCUGCGGAUCUAGGGGUAAAAGUUUUUCGCUUGAGGAUGAGCCCAUGUGGGAUUAGCUAGUUGGUGAGGUAACGGCUCACCAAGGCUACGAUCCCUAACUGGUCUUAGAGGAUGAUCAGUCACACUGGAACUGAGACACGGUCCAGACUCCUACGGGAGGCAGCAGUAGGGAAUAUUGCACAAUGGGGGAAACCCUGAUGCAGCGACGCCGCGUGAGUGAUGAAGGCCUUCGGGUCGUAAAGCUCUGUCGUAUGGGAAUAACAUAAUGAAUGUACCAUGCAAGAAAGGAUCGGCUAACUUCGUGCCAGCAGCCGCGGUAAGACGAGGGAUCCUAGCGUUGUUCGGAAUUAUUGGGCGUAAAGCGGGUGUAGGCGGACUUAUAAGUCAGGUGUGAAAUCCCAGGGCUCAACCCUGGAAGUGCACUUGAUACUGCAAGUCUUGAGUGUGGUAGAGGCUAUUAGAAUUCUUGGUGUAGUGGUGAAAUACGUAGAUAUCAAGAGGAAUACCGGAGGCGAAGGCGGAUAGCUGGGCCAACACUGACGCUGAGACCCGAAAGCGUGGGGAUCAAACAGGAUU